rnacentral:rRNA from 1 species
GCAUGAAGUUGGAAUCGCUAGUAAUCGCAGGUCAGCAUACUGCGGUGAAUACGUUCCCGGGUCUUGUACACACCGCCCGUCACACCAUGGGAGCCGGAAAUGCCCGAAGCCAGUGACCCAACCUUAGGGAGGGAGCUGUCGAAGGUGGAGCCGGUAACUGGGGUGAAGUCGUAACAAGGUAGC